UUCUUCCCCUGCUGGAAGCACAAGGGGAUUUUUUUCCUAUGAUAUUAAUCCUUACUGUGGGAACACAGUUGAUCUUUUGGAGUUGUGUUGGACUCUUGUGUGAAUCUGUGGAAUGCAGCCUGCCAGACUCCUCUGUUCAUGGGAUUCUCCAAUCAAGAAUACUGGAAUGAGUUGCUCUGACUUUCUCCAGGGGAUCUUCCUGACCCAGGGGUUGAACCUGUAUCUCUUCUGUCUCUUGCAUUGGCAGCACAGGACUGAGUUCUGGAGAUGCCAAAUACCUAUCAAAGAGAAGUGUUCCAGUACCACACAGCACAGCCUGUUUGAAACUAUGUAAGCCAAAAACCCUGAUCAAGAUGACCAAAAGAAUCACCUUUUUUUGGUUGAUUCCCAAUACAUAUCUUAUCACUGACAUCAUUCCUAAAGGAAAACUUCCUCACACUUUUAGCUGCUGUGUGUAUUUUGCAAAAACUUAUCAAAUGAUUUAAAUGAUGUCAAUUCAGAGGUCUAUUCAAGUAUCAUGGUGAGUGUUGCAAUUCUUGGCCGAAGUCUAAAUUGAAUAUCUCUUAUUAAACUCAACUUUCUUGGUCAGAAAUAUGCAGUUCUUUAAACAAUUUGCUUGGUCAGACAUUUGCAGUGUAAUGAGGACCAUGAACAAAUAAAUAAAUAGUGAUAAUGUAAUGUGAAGAGAGCUGUGACUGUUCUGAGAGCUUAUGCAUAGACAGCACGGUAACCAACUCUGUCUGAGGCUACUGGGGAGACCUUUCACUGAAAAUGAUUUUUGACUUGGGCUUUAAAAGCUGAGUGGAGGGCACUUGAAGCCAGAAGGAUUAGCAAGUACCAAGGCCCAGAGAUACGAAAGUAAGCAGCCAGUUUUAGCAAUUGUGCGUAGUUCAGUAUGAUCUUAGUGGUAGUGGUAUCUAAGAGAAGUGGGCGGGCAAUUAAACUAUUUCUCCCUGUUACUUAGGGGCUGUCUUCUCAACCCACACUGUAAUUCAGUUUUUCCCAGUUCACCCAACCCUAUAAAGGGUCAGCAAUGGUUAGAUGGUACUCUCAGCUUCUUUUUGUGCUCCCUGUUCCCUGUUUCAAGUACUAUCCUUUUAAGUAUCAACACUUUUAUUUUUCUUAUGUGUAAAUUAUAGAGCUUUAAAGACAGAAAAACAAAAAAAAUGAAGAUUUGUCAUCUGAUUUUUGAAAAACAUCACUUUCACUUCUAUCUCAUGGUUUCUGGACUCAAACAUGUUUGUUAUGAGAGAAUUACAUUGGUCCUUGGUCUAGAUCAUUUAUCAUACCCUACAAGCCCAUAUUCCAUCCUUGCAAGAUGUUGUUUCCAGGCUGAAACCAUAACUGAAUCUUGACAACCUGAUUA